rnacentral:misc_RNA from 1 species
GAAAUGCGAUAAGCAAUGCGAAUUGCAGAAUUCUGUGAAUCAUCGGAUCUUUGAACGCACACUGCGCUUUCGGGAAAUGCCUGAGAGCAUGCCUGUUUCAGCGUCUUAAAGUACCCUCACUAAGCUGGUCUUUUUGUAACAAAAAAGCCUUGGAUUUUAGUGGAGAAUGAGGGUCAGGGAUCGCGCUCAGCGGUCUGUGUCGCUUGAAAUAUCUGGCAGAAGUUUCACAAUUCAAACGAAUUCCUACCGCCCGACUCAGUGCAGUAGUCACACUCCGUGUGACUCUCACUGAAUAAUGGGGUUUGUUUUUAGGACUCGUGUGGAGCUGCCGCGGCUAUUAUUAAUACUUUUUUUCUCAAUCGAGACCUGAAAUCAAGCAAGAGUACCCGCUGAAUUUAA